rnacentral:lncRNA from 1 species
AAAAUUGAGAAUGGAAAUGGGGAAUGUGCCAAAGAGACAACAACCCGACCAUAGAAAAAAAACACAACAGCAGAAGGUCACCAACAGGUCUUCAAUGUAGCGAGAAAUUCCCGCACCCGGAGGCGUCCUUCAACUGGCCCCUAAACAAAUAUAUACAAGUUCAGUGAUAAUGAACGCCAUACUAAUUUCCAAAUUGUACACAAG